rnacentral:rRNA from 1 species
AUUGAACGCUGGCGGCAUGCUUUACACAUGCAAGUCGAACGGCAGCGCGGGCUUCGGCCUGGCGGCGAGUGGCGAACGGGUGAGUAAUACAUCGGAACGUGCCCAGUAGUGGGGGAUAGCUCGGCGAAAGCCGGAUUAAUACCGCAUACGACCUGAGGGUGAAAGCGGGGGAUCUUCGGACCUCGCGCUAUUGGAGCGGCCGAUGGCAGAUUGGCUAGUUGGUGGGGUAAAGGCCUACCAAGGCGACGAUCUGUAGCUGGUCGGAGAGGACGACCAGCCACACUGGGACUGAGACACGGCCCAGACUCCUACGGGAGGCAGCAGUGGGGAAUUUUGGACAAUGGGCGGAAGCCUGAUCCAGCAAUGCCGCGUGUGUGAUGAAGGCCUUCGGGUUGUAAAGCACUUUUGGCGGGAACGAAAAGGACUGUGCCAAUACCACGGUUCGAUGACGGUACCCGCAGAAUAAGCACCGGCUAACUACGUG